rnacentral:rRNA from 1 species
CAGCCGCGGUAAUACGUAGGGUGCGAGCGUUGUCCGGAAUUACUGGGCGUAAAGAGCUCGUAGGUGGUUUGUCGCGUCGUUUGUGUAAGCCCGCAGCUUAACUGCGGGACUGCAGGCGAUACGGGCAUAACUUGAGUGCUGUAGGGGAGACUGGAAUUCCUGGNGUAGCGGUGGAAUGCGCAGAUAUCANGAGGAACACCGAUGGCGAAGGCAGGUCUCUGGGCAGUAACUGACGCUGAGGAGCGAAAGCAUGGGUAGCGAACAGGAUUAGAUACCCUGGUAGUCCAUGCCGUAAACGGUGGGCGCUAGGUGUGAGUCCCUUCCACGGGGUUCGUGCCGUANCUAACGCAUUAAGCGCCCCGCCUGGGGAGUACGGCCGCAAGGCUAAAACUCAAAGG